UAAUUGGAGAGUUUGAUCCUGGCUCAGAACGAACGCUGGCGGCGGGCUUAACACAUGCAAGUCGAGCGCGAACGUCACCUUCGGGUGGCUAGUAGAGCGGCGCACGGGUGAGUAACGCGCGGGUAAUCUACCCUUCGGCUCGGGAUAACAUCCCGAAAGGGGUGCUAAUACCGGAUACGUUCCGCGGGUCCUUGGGGUCGCGGAGGAAAGAGGGUUUUCGGAUUUUCACCGAAGGAUGAGCCCACGUCCCAUCAGCUUGUUGGUAGGGUAAUGGCCUACCAAGGCAACGACGGGUAGCUGGUCUGAGAGGAUGAUCAGCCACACUGGAACUGAGACACGGUCCAGACUCCU
rnacentral:rRNA from 1 species